GUAGGGUGCGAGCGUUAUCCGGAAUUAUUGGGCGUAAAGAGCUCGUAGGCGGUUUGUCGCGUCUGUCGUGAAAGUCCGGGGCUUAACCCCGGAUCUGCGGUGGGUACGGGCAGACUAGAGUGCAGUAGGGGAGACUGGAAUUCCUGGUGUAGCGGUGGAAUGCGCAGAUAUCAGGAGGAACACCGAUGGCGAAGGCAGGUCUCUGGGCUGUAACUGACGCUGAGGAGCGAAAGCAUGGGGAGCGAACAGGAUUAGAUACCCUGGUAGUCCAUGCCGUAAACGUUGGGCACUAGGUGUGGGGACCAUUCCACGGUUUCCGCGCCGCAGGUAACGCAUUAAGUGCCCCGCCUGGGGAGUACGGCCGCAAGGCUA
rnacentral:rRNA from 1 species